UACGUAGGGUGCGAGCGUUGUCCGGAAUUAUUGGGCGUAAAGGGCUCGUAGGCGGUUUGUCACGUCGGGAGUGAAAACUCGGGGCUUAACCCCGAGCCUGCUUCCGAUACGGGCUGACUAGAGGUAUGCAGGGGAGAACGGAAUUCCUGGUGUAGCGGUGAAAUGCGCAGAUAUCAGGAGGAACACCGGUGGCGAAGGCGGUUCUCUGGGCAUUACCUGACGCUGAGACGCGAAAGCGUGGGGAGCAAACAGG
rnacentral:rRNA from 1 species